GAUGAACGCUAGCGACAGGCCUAACACAUGCAAGUCGAGGGGCAGCACAUGAGUAGCAAUACGAUGGUGGCGACCGGCGCACGGGUGAGUAACACGUAUGCAACCUGCCUUCUACUAUGGGAUAACCCGUUGAAAGACGGACUAAUACCGUAUAAUACAGGGGCUCCGCAUGGAGAUAUUUGUUAAAGAGUUAUUGGUAGAAGAUGGGCAUGCGUAUGAUUAGAUAGUUGGUGAGGUAACGGCUCACCAAGUCAACGAUCAUUAGGGGGUCUGAGAGGAAGGUCCCCCACACUGGUACUGAGACACGGACCAGACUCCUACGGGAGGCAGCAGUGAGGAAUAUUGGUCAAUGGACGAGAGUCUGAACCAGCCAAGUCGCGUGAAGGAAGACGGUUCUAUGAAUUGUAAACUUCUUUUGUGCAGGAAUAAAGUGGGUUACGUGUAACCUUUUGUAUGUACUGUACGAAUAAGGAUCGGCUAACUCCGUGCCAGCCGCCGCGGUAAUAC
rnacentral:rRNA from 1 species